GGGGGCGACUUGGUUUCGACGUGGGUUGCAAAGCAGCGCAGGGCAUACCGAGGCCUGAUUACCUCGUAAAUACAGUCAGAACGUAAAUAACUGCUAACGAUAACUCGUACGCACUGGCCGCUUAAUCGCGGUUAGCUCCACACCAUCUCGUCUCUGGGGUGGGCUGGCAACAGCAGUGGAGUCAUUUACAGAGAAUCGCCUCGGAACGGGUCACUUGAACCGGGGUUAAAUCUUAGGUGACUAGCCUUUCCGCAGCGUGUGCGUCCGCGGCGGCCGGGUUAAAUCAAAUGACAGCACUAAGUAUGUAGAACUGUCUGUAGAGUGCUUGCGGACGCGGGUUCGAUUCCCGCCGCCUCCACCA
rfam:Herbaspirillum sp. HZ10 Scaffold8_1, whole genome shotgun sequence.